rnacentral:rRNA from 1 species
UGGGGAAUUUUGGACAAUGGGCGAAAGCCUGAUUCAGCCAUGCCGCGUGAGUGAAGAAGGCCUUCGGGUUGUAAAGCUCUUUUAGUCGGAAAGAAAGAGUUGCAAUGAAUAAUUGUGAUUUAUGACGGUACCGACAGAAAAAGCACCGGCUAACUACGUGCCAGCAGCCGCGGUAAUACGUAGGGUGCGAGCGUUAAUCGGAAUUACUGGGCGUAAAGCGUGCGCAGGCGGUUUUGUAAGACAGAGGUGAAAUCCCCGGGCUCAACCGGGGAACUGGCUUUGUGACUGCAAGGCUGGAGUGCGGCAGAGGGGGAUGGAAUUCCGCGUGUAGCAGUGAAAUGCGUAGAUAUGCGGAGGAACACCGAUGGCGAAGGCAAUCCCCUGAGCCUGCACUGACGCUCAUGCACGAAAGCGUGGGGAGCAAACA